rnacentral:rRNA from 1 species
GACGAACGCUGGCGGCGUGCCUAACACAUGCAAGUCGAACGGAAAGGCCCUUCGGGGUACUCGAGUGGCGAACGGGUGAGUAACACGUGGGUGAUCUGCCCUGCACUUCGGGAUAAGCCUGGGAAACUGGGUCUAAUACCGGCUAGGACUACGGCCUUCAUGGGUUGUGGUGGAAAGCUUUUGCGGUGUGGGAUGGGCCCGCGGCCUAUCAGCUUGUUGGUGGGGUAAUGGCCUACCAAGGCGACGACGGGUAGCCGGCCUGAGAGGGUGUCCGGCCACACUGGGACUGAGAUACGGCCCAGACUCCUACGGGAGGCAGCAGUGGGGAAUAUUGCACAAUGGGCGCAAGCCUGAUGCAGCGACGCCGCGUGAGGGAUGACGGCCUUCGGGUUGUAAACCUCUUUCAGCAGGGACGAAGCGCAAGUGACGGUAC